rnacentral:rRNA from 1 species
AUGAUGUUGACGUUGGUGAUGUCCUUCUUGCGAGCUCCACGCCACGAUUCUCCGCGGUGCCGGGUGUUGGCACUGGAACUCGUCUUGGCGAGCUCCGCGCCGCCAUCCAAGGCGGCACGGUGGCGGCUUCGUUGCGAGCCUCCACGCCUUUGUCCUCCAUGGCGCCGACUUGAUGAAGAAAAUGACGGGCGUCAUCCUAGCGAGCUCUGUAUCGCCAUCCUCCGCGGCACACGGCACCAUCCCUACGUGCUCCGCGCCUUCGGGCUCCAGCUUGACGAAGUAGAUGUUGGCGACAUCCUCAAUGGGCGCCACGCCUCCGUCCUCUAG